GCCUGAGCCGCCGCGCUCGCACUCGCUCCACCCCCGAUGCCCCUUCUCCACCCCUCUCACCGACGGCGCCGUCCGCGUCCACCCGCCUCUGCCGUCUCCUUCCUUCUCCCCGUUGGCCCCCUCCACCUCCUCUCUGUCAUCGUCUGACCCAGAUGCGGCCGCAGCCCGCCAGCGCAGUAGGCGGAGGAGACGCGGCUAAGAGGAGCACGAGCCACCGCCGACGCCUACCCGACGACGCUGUGAAGGAGUCGACCAGAGAGGGAGGACGUCGUGAACCGAUGCGGGCCCAACGGUGUGUGCGCGUGCCUCCGCGGGUUCGCGCCGCGGUCGCCGGAGGCGUGGGCGCCGCGGGUCAAGCGCGUGGGGUGCGUGGGCGCCAUGGCGCUCGACUGCCGCAACGGCAUCAGCGGCUUCGUGCCAAUGAAGCGCGGCAAGGUCCCCGACACGACGGCUAUCGUGGUGGACUUCGGUGCCAUCCUCGCGGACUGUGCGCAGAGAUGCCCACGGGACUGCUCGUGCACGGCGUAUGCCAGCGCCAAGCUCAGCGGAACGCCAAGGACCAGCACGCUCGAGGACCUCCGUGUGUUCCCCAACUUCAGCCAGGAGCCCAGGACCUCUAUGUGCGCCUUCCGCUGCCGAUCUCGGAGGGUCACGGCCGAUGCUCGUCAGGAUCCAACCACACAACGAGCCAAAGGAUGCGCCAUGGAUUCACUGUCCGGUUUGUCAGUCUGGGUUCAUAAGGACAUAUUGAUGGACAAUUCUUAUGAUGGUAUAGCUGUAUAUGAAGUUCCAUAUACAUGGAUCCCCACUCAUCUGGUUGAGAUUCACCACUGAUGACACGAGUCUGUUACCCUGCUCCUGUGAAGGUAGCCGAAGGCCUGCAGCUCCCACCGUGAUAUCCUCUCUCGGCUUUCGCAUCUUCAUGACUGAGAUGUAAGCGUUGUUCAGGCCCUAUGAGAAGGUGAACCACUCUAUCAAAGGCGAUGAACUCAUCCAAUUUGUACCUCCAAAAAACUUACUUCCUAUGUGUUCUUGGGAUCAAGUAAUGUGAUGUUCAUUUACUAAAUUCUGGCAGAUCAUGGAGGAGGACGCCUCGGGCUCGCUGUGUUGCCAUCAUCGGGACGAGUGGAGGCUGCUGCUUGCGUAGAUGCUUCCAGGAGGAGCGCUAGAGCGCAUUGUCGCCAUCGAUAGGAGGAACACCAGAUGGAAAUCAAGCCAAGGGAAUCCCGUGAGUCUGGGUCCUGGCCGGAAGCGCCGGAUGUGUUGCUGCAGUUGUUGGUCUGUGGGUGUUGUGUGUUUAUGGGCCGCGCUGACAGUGAGGACCUGACUGCUGCACAAAUCUUCUAUCCUUGCAUGCAAUGUACUGAUAUGUUUUUCCUGAAGGCGGACAUAUGCCAGUUGGGCAUGGAGCAAAGAAAGGUAAACAUGUUAGUGAGGGAAUACUGCGUUGACAUCAAAAGGAAGAACAAACCAAUUAUUCUCUCACAUUGUAUCCUGAUCUGCCCUGCUACAAUAUGUCUUUUUCUAUAUUGUGUUUUUCUUCUUACUAUCGCUGAUAUAUGUGUCUCAUUGAUUAUGGUAUUAGACUUCCAAGAUAGUGGUUCAUUGCCAGUCUGUACAAAAACACAAAAUAGUGGCUCAUGUGAGGUGUAUCUGAGACUAAGGGUUAAUUUAAUUCUCAAGUUAUAUGCAUGAUGCGCAAGUCCAUCUCAAUCAGCCCAUCCAAAAAUGGAACAGAACUAAAAAUUCUAUAGAAAAUCUCAUGUUUAUUUUAGUCUUGGAGUUUAAUUUACCAGAUUUCAAACUGAGCGCUUUUUGGAAAACUUGAGGUUCUCACUGCAUCAAAGUUACUGUUAAAUUUCGCCAAAACAGGCAUUUCUUUUCUGUGCUCUUUUAUUGUGCAUUUGAUACCUAGAAGGUCUACAUUUGCAUGUAAUGCCAUGACCUCAUCUAUAAAAAUGAAACUGUGUCCAACACUACAAUCACAUUCUACUACUGAAAUACAACACCAUUGGUAGGAUUCACAUCCACACUAUCACAGUUCUCGUCAUGUGUUAUCUUGAAAAUUAAAUUUCAACAUAGUAGUUAUUCACAUUAAGCCUGGGAGCAUCAUAUCAUUUAUAUUAUGAAAUAUUUUGGAGGCCUGUUUGAGUGUAUCCUUGAAUUAAACAAUUGCUUUUCUACAUUUUUCUUAUAACUGAUCUUUAGAGUUACUCUUUAAUGUUUAUUAUAUUUUGUGCUACAACACAAUUAGUGCCCGGUGAACCAUGUUUACCCUCUAAUGUCACUAUUGUUUGUUGUCAUCCUUUUAUCCAUUAUAACUCAGCUUCAUAUAUCCACUGCAACAUAAAUAUUCCCUGUUAACUGUGUUAUGAACUGGAUACUUUGUUGAAAAUUUAUGUACUGAACCUCUUAUGUACUAAACUUGGUCCAAGCUUUCCUAUUAGGUACUGAAACAGAUGAAUUUGCUAUUUUUAUGGAGCUCAUGAUGUACUGGCUGUUUAUGCAUUCCAUGUUAUUUAGUGAACUUUUCAGCAAACUUUACUUAAGUUUUGUUCAAUUUUUUAGUGUACUUAAGUUUUAUUCCAAUUUGGUUACCAUCGUUGAAAACCAGUUAAUUUUUCUGCUCAAAAUAUAUUUUCUCUUCAAUUUCCUGCUGUAGUUGUCUUUUUGUGUGCUUAGUACAAUGUGUUUGGGGUGUUGCAUCUGAUAAGAUCUCAUCAGUAGUGGUUUCGAUUUUGAUGUUUUAUCUUUCCUAGAAUCUCGGAAGCACACUUAGGUUGGAAACACGCCGGUAGCAUUUAUUUAUCUUUAUUUGUUGCUAUUUGAGUUAGUUUGCUGCUUGGAUAUCAUGCCAUACCAGCUCUAACAUCCAUGCAUAUGAUUUCUCCAGGGUCAUAUUCUGAAUAAUAGUGCAAGGUACUUUGAGUUAAUGUUCUGCAAAUUAGUGCAUCUGGAACGCUAGGAUGUGUGGGAACACAAAGGAGUUGGUGUGUGCCUCCAUUGCGGCUUAGGAUGUUUACGGUGGUCUUUCUUUUUUAUCUGAAUGGAGAGGGCCGCUGGUUCUUGAUCUUUAGGUUAACCAGUUUUUUUAUGUUGCGUGCUCAUGCUGCCCUAUGUUUUCUUUCUUGAUCUGAAUGGAGAGAGUGCCACUGGUUCUUGAUCUUAAGGUGACCCAAUUUUUUAUGUUGCGUGCUCAUGCUGCUCUCUGUUUUCUUUUAAUGCUUCUUGCUUGCUAUUUUAUUGUUGUUAGGAAUGCCGUGUUAAUUUAGUUUCCUACUAUUUUGAUCUGUCAAGUAUAUUAAAAACUUUGUAAGUUCUAAUGUAUCAACAAGAAUCUGCGGAUGCUUCUUUUCUUCUUGGGUUCUUAAAAAAGCACAAAGGUGGUCCAUCUUGAACUGUAAUUUGUUCGGUGCUGUUUUUCUAAUUCCCUACGAAAUUAUUAGUCAUUUUGGUGUUUGGAGGUACACUGUCAAGGUGACUAAUAAACUUUUUUCCUUUUACAAUGUACAAUGCAUAUAUAAGUUAAUAUUAUGUACUUUUGUAAAUGAAGUUACUAUAGUUGAGAGCAUGGAUAUGGCCCUUCCAAAGCUCUAUGCAGCAGAGAACGGCGGGCGUGGCGGAGCGACCCCGUGGGAGGACACGUCGGCCUGCUGCUACGAGUAAGGUCCAUACUGUGCUUUUAGUCUCACACCGCAAAUUUGAUAGAAUUUUCACCGCUAUAUGAAUGUUCGCCUCGGGAAUGGUCUCACUAAGUACCAGUAGAGUAGGUUAGGACUCGAUUAUGCCCGUGGGGACAGUGUAAAGGGUUGACAGUAUCCACUAUGUACAAGAUUGAUCAGUUUUGCCUGAUUAGUUAGUGGAUAUUUGUAUCACUGGUCAUGAAACGAUGGUGUUAGUGGUGGAUUGGUAGCCAGAUGCAAAUCAGAUCAUCAUUUUUGUUGAUUCGAUAGAGCUGGCAGUUAUGAUAUCUUUUAAUUUUGGUCAUAUAUGUAUCUUACAAGAAUUCCAGUAUAUAUUUUGGUCAUCUGUAUCAUUUGGAAUUUUAUGCAGUUUUUUCUAUGGAAAUAUUUAGUUGUGUAAUUCUAUUGGACAAUUAUGGAUGAGGCCUAAAUAAUGUAUAGAUAUGAUGGAUGCUCUUAUUCCUUCUGACUCAUCAUCUGUAGAUAAUAGUUGAUGAAUGAUUGAUCGUGGCUUUCUUUUGGUAUGUCAUGCUACAUCUCUUGCUUCUAAUGGGCUUUGAUGCUUUGGAUCCUUUUGUUUUUGUGAACUGUCGGAAUAUAAAUCAUACUUUUACCGGGUUGGAUAUGGCUGGUGCAGGUGAGGUGCGGCAAGCCACACUUCCUGUCAAGUGGUUAUCUUUUGUGAUCUCAUGAACCUACUAAACUCGAUGCUACCUUAUGAUAAUCUUAUGGUGAUGUUGAACUCCAUAAUUUCUUGCUUCUAUCAUAUGUGAAUGUUUCUUCUUAUUUUUAUUUAGUUAUAUUCUGUUUGAGUAAGUAUGUUAAACGUGGGUUACUACUAAUUUGAGCAUUUCCUGCAUAACCACAACGUUGGGACCGGCACCCUCGCGCCAAGGCGUGUUGCCGAUCUAGUAAUCUAUGCACCCACGAGGUCCAGGCGACAAACCUCCGGUCGAUCCGAAAAAAAUGGUGUAAAAAAAAUCUACGAAAAUAAAUCUACGAAAAUUAACCAGACGAGCAAGCGAGGCCUCCAGGGUGCCCUCGAGCGAGAACGAUGCCACACCACCAGAUCCCUUCGCCGCUGCCUCGCCCUCGCAUCCCUGCGCCACUUCGCCGCCGCUGAGAUCCGAGAAGAGUCGACCUUCGCCGCCAAGAUCCCGUGCCUUUCUACAUAUCCCUCUCACUCCUCUUCGCCCAUCCACGUAGAUCGAAACCCGUCGCCCCUCUGUCGCUGCUGGUGCUCGAGGGAAGACGAGGGCGGCUCCUCCCGGCGAUUCCCCAUGGUCCUCGGCGAUUCCUCCCGGCGAUUCCCCAUGGUCCUCCGCGGUGGUGACGGUUAGCUGCAUCGAAAAGACAAUGGGGCGAUGGGCGCCGGGGUCGGGCACUGCUGGUCAGCGGAAGGCGCUCGCUACUACCUGGCUCCACUUGGACACCACCGGGUUAAGCCUUGGCGUCGACCUGGGCGCCGCUGCCUUUGCAACUGCUCCUCGCUGCUGAGUAGUUAGUUUGCGAUGGAACAACAGACUGUCUCGGCUUUACAUCCUCCACAGAUCCUACGCUACCAUGGAGGAGGGUUUUUUGAAUCAUAUGAGAAAUCAGUGGCUCGUCAAACCGCAGAUUGCCUUGGUCGGUUCGUGUUAUUUGGUGAUUUCUGUACAUAUCAACGAAGCGGUCCUCUACAUAGCAAACACCGGUGAUUCAUGUGUUGUCCCCAGGGAGGGUCGAAAGGGGCAUCAAAGACAUUAAAGUGGUUCAGCUGUCAUCCGAGCAUAACACGAGCUUUCAUGCUGUAAGGGAUGAGCUAAGACAGGUACACCCAAAUGACCCUCAGAUCGUGGCCCUGAAGCACAACUUUUGGCGCAUGAAGGGCAUUAUUCAGGUUUCCAGAAUGAUUGGCCACACCAAGCUAAAAAGUUCGGAAUUUAACUGUGAGCCCCUUCUGGCCUGCUUCCGUAUUCUAAGGGCAUUCCAUAAACCAAUUCUUUGCCCCGAACCAUCCAUUGAAGAACAUAGACUGUGUGCAAAAUAUCAGUUCGUUAUAUUUGCGUCAGAUGGACUAUGAGAGCACUUGAGCAAUCAGGAAGCUGUGGAUAUAGUUAAUUGUUCACCUCGGAAUGUAAGAUGAUUUGCCAUACUUCCUCUUAUAUUACUCAUUCCCAGUGUACUAAAAUAUGAUUCCCAUUUUAGGCUUGCCUUGUACUGUUGAUAUGUAACCCAAAUAGGUUAAAUCGAUUGUUGUAUCGAAACAUGUAGUAUUUACUUCUAAGAGAGCAACUGAGAGCCUGUGUGUCUCCGCUA